GGCUCCAUAGUGUAAUGAUUAGCACAUCUGCUUUACAUGCAGAAGGUCCUGGGUUCAUGCUCCAGGUGGAGCCA
rnacentral:tRNA from 1 species